GCAGCUGCAAUGCAGCAUUACUUAAUGUUUCUAGAAAGGAUUAACUUCAGAAGACUGCUGUAGUCCUGGUCAGUGUGGCCUAUUCAAAAGUACACAAUUAGGAUGUCUAACUGCUGUAUUCAGAGUGGGAAGCUUUCUGACUGGCUACAAUCAUGUUUCCUUCUUGCUAACCUCAGUAGGUUGACAACUAAUGAAACAUUGUGUUGGUGAAGCUUGUGAUUCUUUGUACAAUGAUUAGUAUAUGUACUUCUUUUUGGUUGGUUGUCGUGUUCAGGUCUUUGGUAGCCACUGGGUGCAAUGCUAAUACACUUGCAAUAUACCAAACCCUUACAAGUCCAAGGCUAACUUGUGUGGCCAAUCUGGGGUGUCACUGUCAAAACUAGUGGGGGGAACACAAGAAGAGGGAAGAGCUGUGUGGAAAAUAAGUACUUGACAUCUAGUUCUGUCUUGUUCCUGCCUCCCAUGUUUCUGCCCUCCCCGAUUAGAUCACUGUCAUGUGGUUCCCUAAAUUUAAGUGAAAAAUGAACUGGAGAUUUAUAGUUGUGCUGCUGUUAGUGUAACCUAAGCUGUAGCUUUGGUCCGGUCUUCUACCAGGAUAAUUCUCUUCUAAGUGCUGAACUGGGGUAGUUGUGCUGCUCCAUUUUGGGCUGUAAUGUUUGUACUGCUGUCUUAUCUGAGACAGGAGGUGUCCCUCCAGGAAAAACAACGGGCCUUCUAAUUAAAAGACUUAUUGAGAGCAUGUUUUUUAAUACUGUUACUACCCCUGUACUGAUUUCGAAGGCUGCUUUUUGAUGAAAUGAAACUGUUGCUUUUGUCAAGGUAGUGGCAGUGGGCCUUUGAGUUCUUGACUUCACGUACCUGUAGCAAGAGAUGGAUUUGUGGUACCUGACAGAGUAACCAAAUGUGAAGAGGAAGAAAUUGGGUUGUUGAAUCACCUGCUUUGCUGUGCUUAAAAAUGCAGGAAUGUUUUUGGUGGUACCUCUUGUGAUGAGUCUGGGACAUAGCAGGUUUUCUUAGCCUGCUGCUGACUUGUGAAAACUAUUACUGUAAUUCUGUAAUACUACCAUGUCAUACCCUUAAAUUUCCAUUGACUUGAAAAUUGCAUAAAAAUGUAGGUGGGUUUUAUAUGCAAGUAAAAUAGUUUUUCAAGGUUUUUCUUCUCUUUCCCAGAUCAUCUACUUAAGGCUAAACCUGAAAUAUAAACACUGAACGUAGGUGUGCAGCAUUCUUGCUGUAGCACUGAGGGACUCCUGAAAUUGAAGGACUUUUUCAGGGUGUA
ensembl:lncRNA